UCCAGACUCCUACGGGAGGCAGCAGUGGGGAAUAUUGGGCAAUGGGCGCAAGCCUGACCCAGCAACGCCGCGUGAAGGAAGAAGGCUUUCGGGUUGUAAACUUCUUUUGUCAGGGACGAAGCAAGUGACGGUACCUGACGAAUAAGCCACGGCUAACUACGUGCCAGCAGCCGCGGUAAUACGUAGGUGGCGAGCGUUAUCCGGAUUCACUGGGUGUAAAGGGAGCGUAGACGGCCAUGCAAGCCAGGGGUGAAAGCCCGGGGCCCAACCCCGGGACUGCCCUUGGGACUGUGCGGCUAGAGUGCGGGAGGGGCAGGCGGAAUUCCUGGUGUAGCGGUGAAAUGCGUAGAUAUCAGGAGGAACACCGGCGGCGAAGGCGGCCUGCUGGACCGCGACUGACGUUGAGGCUCGAAAGCGUGGGGAGCAAACAGGAUUAGAUACCCCUGUAACG
rnacentral:rRNA from 1 species